CCAGUUCUCUGUCUGUGAAAACCCAUCCUUUUAUUGCCAAUUGAAAAGACAAAUAUUCAAAAACUCACUUGGCCGGUUCACAGACAAGUAAGUAACUUUCUUCUUUCACAGAUUUCGGGAGUAGCUAGGAAAAUAUAACAUCGUUUUGAAAAAUAUGAUGGGAUGUAGGCUUGACUUGGCCCUCCUCUACUCCAACUUGAGACGUCCUUUAUGCUUAUGGAAA
rnacentral:lncRNA from 1 species